rnacentral:rRNA from 1 species
UACGGACCGUCCUACCGUUAUUCGGAAUCACUGGGCUUAAAGGGUACGUAGGCGGCCCUGUUAGUCGGGUGUGAAAGCCCUCGGCUCAACCGAGGAAUAGCGCCCGAUACUGCAGGGCUUGAGGGAGACAGAGGUGAGCGGAACUGAUGGUGGAGCGGUGAAAUGCGUUGAUAUCAUCAGGAACACCGGUGGCGAAAGCGGCUCACUGGGUCUCUUCUGACGCUGAGGUACGAAAGCUAGGGUAGCGAAGGGG